rnacentral:rRNA from 1 species
GACGAACGCUGGCGGCGUGCUUAACACAUGCAAGUCGAACGGAAAGGCCCUGCUUUUGUGGGGUGCUCGAGUGGCGAACGGGUGAGUAACACGUGAGUAACCUGCCCUUGACUUUGGGAUAACUUCAGGAAACUGGGGCUAAUACCGGAUAGGAGCUCCUGCUGCAUGGUGGGGGUUGGAAAGUUUCGGCGGUUGGGGAUGGACUCGCGGCUUAUCAGCUUGUUGGUGGGGUAGUGGCUUACCAAGGCUUUGACGGGUAGCCGGCCUGAGAGGGUGACCGGCCACAUUGGGACUGAGAUACGGCCCAGACUCCUACGGGAGGCAGCAGUGGGGAAUAUUGCACAAUGGGCGGAAGCCUGAUGCAGCAACGCCGCGUGCGGGAUGACGGCCUUCGGGUUGUAAACCGCUUUCGCCUGUGACGAAGCGUGAGUGACGGUAAUGGGUAAAGAAGCACCGGCUAACUACGUGCCAGCAGCCGCGGUGAUACGUAGGGUGCGAGCGUUGUCCGGAUUUAUUGGGCGUAAAGGGCUCGUAGGUGGUUGAUCGCGUCGGAAGUGUAAUCUUGGGGCUUAACCCUGAGCGUGCUUUCGAUACGGGUUGACUUGAGGAAGGUAGGGGAGAAUGGAAUUCCUGGUGGAGCGGUGGAAUGCGCAGAUAUCAGGAGGAACACCAGUGGCGAAGGCGGUUCUCUGGGCCUUUCCUGACGCUGAGGAGCGAAAGCGUGGGGAGCGAACAGGCUUAGAUACCCUGGUAGUCCACGCUGUAAACGGUGGGUACUAGGUGUGGGGUCCAUUCCACGGGUUCCGUGCCGUAGCUAACGCUUUAAGUACCCCGCCUGGGGAGUACGGCCGCAAGGCUAAAACUCAAAGGAAUUGACGGGGCCCCGCACAAGCGGCGGAGCAUGCGGAUUAAUUCGAUGCAACGCGUAGAACCUUACCUGGGUUUGACAAGGAUCGGGAGUGCUCAGAGAUGGGUGUGCCUCUUUUGGGGUCGGUUCACAGGUGGUGCAUGGCUGUCGUCAGCUCGUGUCGUGAGAUGUUGGGUUAAGUCCCGCAACGAGCGCAACCCUUGUUCACUGUUGCCAGCACGUUAUGGUGGGGACUCAGUGGAGACCGCCGGGGUCAACUCGGAGGAAGGUGGGGAUGACGUCAAGUCAUCAUGCCCCUUAUGUCCAGGGCUUCACGCAUGCUACAAUGGCUGGUACAGAGAGUGGCGAGCCUGUGAGGGUGAGCGAAUCUCGGAAAGCCGGUCUCAGUUCGGAUUGGGGUCUGCAACUCGACCUCAUGAAGUCGGAGUCGCUAGUAAUCGCAGAUCAGCAACGCUGCGGUGAAUACGUUCCCGGG